rnacentral:rRNA from 1 species
UGGGGGAUAUUGCACAAUGGGCGAAAGCCUGAUGCAGCGACGCCGCGUGGGGGAUGAAGGCCUUCGGGUUGUAAACUUCUUUUGCUCUGAACAAGGCGCACCAUGGGGUGUGUUGAGUGUAGGGGUUGAUUAGCGCCGGCUAACUACGUGCCAGCAGCCGCGGUAAUACGGAGGGCGCGAGCGUUGUCCGGAAUUAUUGGGCGUAAAGGGCUUGUAGGUGGCUGGUUGCGUCUGUCGUGAAAGCUCAUGGCUUAACUGUGGGUUUGCGGUGGGUACGGGCUGGCUUGAGUGCAGUAGGGGAGGCUGGAAUUCCUGGUGUAGCGGUGAAAUGCGCAGAUAUCAGGAGGAAUACCGGUGGCGAAGGCGGGUCUCUGGGCUGUUACUGACACUGAGGAGCGAAAGCAUGGGGAGCGAACAGG